rnacentral:rRNA from 1 species
ACGAACGCUGGCGGCGUGGAUAAGACAUGCAAGUCGAACGAGAGAAUUGCUAGCUUGCUAAUAAUUCUCUAGUGGCGCACGGGUGAGUAACACGUGAGUAACCUGCCCCCGAGAGCGGGAUAGCCCUGGGAAACUGGGAUUAAUACCGCAUAGUAUCGAAAGAUUAAAGCAGCAAUGCGCUUGGGGAUGGGCUCGCGGCCUAUUAGUUAGUUGGUGAGGUAACGGCUCACCAAGGCGAUGACGGGUAGCCGGUCUGAGAGGAUGUCCGGCCACACUGGAACUGAGACACGGUCCAGACACCUACGGGUGGCAGCAGUCGAGAAUCAUUCACAAUGGGGGAAACCCUGAUGGUGCGACGCCGCGUGGGGGAAUGAAGGUCUUCGGAUUGUAAACCCCUGUCAUGUGGGAGCAAAUUAAAAAGAUAGUACCACAAGAGGAAGAGACGGCUAACUCUGUGCCAGCAGCCGCGGUAAUACAGAGGUCUCAAGCGUUGUUCGGAAUCACUGGGCGUAAAGCGUGCGUAGGCUGUUUCGUAAGUCGUGUGUGAAAGGCGCGGGCUCAACCCGCGGACGGCACAUGAUACUGCGAGACUAGAGUAAUGGAGGGGGAACCGGAAUUCUCGGUGUAGCAGUGAAAUGCGUAGAUAUCGAGAGGAACACUCGUGGCGAAGGCGGGUUCCUGGACAUUAACUGACGCUGAGGCACGAAGGCCAGGGGAGCGAAAGGGAUUAGAUACCCCUGUAGUCCUGGCAGUAAACGGUGCACGCUUGGUGUGCGGGGAAUCGACCCCCUGCGUGCCGGAGCUAACGCGUUAAGCGUGCCGCCUGGGGAGUACGGUCGCAAGAUUAAAACUCAAAGAAAUUGACGGGGACCCGCACAAGCGGUGGAGUAUGUGGCUUAAUUCGAUGCAACGCGAAGAACCUUACCUGGGCUUGACAUGUAAUGAACAACAUGUGAAAGCAUGCGACUCUUCGGAGGCGUUACACAGGUGCUGCAUGGCCGUCGUCAGCUCGUGUCGUGAGAUGUUUGGUUAAGUCCAGCAACGAGCGCAACCCCUGUUGCCAGUUACCAGCACGUGAAGGUGGGGACUCUGGCGAGACUGCCCAGAUCAACUGGGAGGAAGGUGGGGACGACGUCAGGUCAGGAUGGCGCUUAUGCCCAGGGCUGCACACGUACUACAAUGCCCAGUACAGAGGGGGCCGAAGCCGCGAGGCGGAGGAAAUCCUAAAAACUGGGCCCAGUUCGGACUGUAGGCUGCAACCCGCCUACACGAAGCCGGAAUCGCUAGUAAUGGCGCAUCAGCUACGGCGCCGUGAAUACGUUCCCGGGUCUUGUACACACCGCCCGUCACAUCAUGGAAGCCGGUCGCACCCGAAGUAUCUGAAGCCAACCGCAAGGAGGCAGGGUCCUAAGGUGAGACUGGUAACUGGGAUG